UAUACCUGACUUAUGCAUUUGGUAGACCGAUUGUAUUAUUUUAUCUUUAUUAGGGAGACCAGUAGAUUAGGGAGACAUAUUUUGGUCUCCGUAUUAUUUUGACCUUGUCUAAAAUGUAAUUGGCUUAUCUUUAAAUUAAUGAACGGUGUGUCUUUGCCUAAAAUGCAUCAAUGUGUCUAUUAUUUGACAUCCAAUAGUUGCCUUUUGUCUAUAUUUUUUCGUAAAAAGGAAUUCAAUCUGCCUCCAUCGUAUAAUUAGCAAUGACUAUUUUUCUGCAUUUAGGAGACCAACGAAAACUUGCAAUAUUGCAAAAAAUCUAACAUAUAUAAUGUGUUUAGCCUUUAAUUAUUCUAAAUGAACUUGUUUUCAAAAUACUUUUUCACUUUUUAUGUAUAAAGCCUAACUAGAAAAAAAGUCGUUAAUUUCUUGACCAUGUUUGAACAUUUGGCAAGUGCUCUCCGCCAUUUGUUCCGAGUACUCUCGGAACGUCUCGGGUUAAAACAAUGGACCUUUUAACGCCAGCGUGUUGCCUUUUAGGAAUCAAAGCCAUUUUAUGGUAAGAUAGUCAGGCCUCCAUGUUUACAACCGGGAUUUACAAUUGUGACCCACAUUUACAAAUGUGACAUCAUAGUAUCACUCUUGUUUGGUUUUUCGGAUAUUAUCAGGUUUUGGAGUUAUUAGCACAACCAGUCAUGUCAGUGGAGAUUUUCUCCUGCAGGAGAAACAUUAAAAGGACAGGAUGGGGAGGAGAGAUUGAAGACAAGCACAGAAAACAAAAUAUUUAUCUAUAAAUAUAAUGGAAAAGAACUUUGUACUGAUGCUGUCAGGAGUGAACAACCAUACAUGUAUCUGCCAGUUUGUAAAUGAUGGCAAGGACGAUGCAAACUCCACCAUAAGCUCAGAGUGUUUAAUGGAAGGGAAUACCUAUGAUUGUUUGCUAAGAGAGACAUUGUGGUUGGGGAAGAGAUACUUCAUGUAUAUGACUAUGGUUGUGAUGGGAAAAGCUUGCGGUGGCGCAGCAAGGUAGGAAAAUGGUUGGAUUAAUUAAACACAAAAAAUAAUUAUUAAGAGAGAGUUUAGUGAUUUACAAUCAGGCUUUGGAUAUCUUGUUAUCUGGCUUUGGUUUUGUUUUUGCAUUUUUUCGUACAUUGAUUUGUUUUAAACUAAUCUAAAAAAAUAGGUUUUUCUCAAGAAUUUGAAAAGUAUCAGAAUAGAUAAUUUAUAUGUUUUUAUUGAAAAACAAGCCUAAAACUUCUGUUAGUGUUGUUAAAUAGGUUAAAAAUCGUGAUCAAUUAAUCAGCAGAAUUGGUUGU